AGUGAACGCUGGCGGUAGGCCUAACACAUGCAAGUCGAACGGCAGCACAGAGGAGCUUGCUCCUUGGGUGGCGAGUGGCGGACGGGUGAGGAAUACAUCGGAAUCUACUCUGUCGUGGGGGAUAACGUAGGGAAACUUACGCUAAUACCGCAUACGACCUACGGGGUAAAGCAGGGGAUCUUCGGACCUUGCGCGAUUGCAUGAGCACAUGUCGGAUUAGCUAGUUGGCGGGGUAAAGGCCCACCAAGGCGACGAUCCGUAGCUGGUCCUGAGAGGAUGAUCAGCCACACUGGAACUGAGACACGGUCCAGACUCCUACGGGAGGCAGCGGUGGGGAAUAUUGGACAAUGGGCGCAAGCCUGAUCCAGCCAUACCGCGUGGGUGAAGAAGGCCUUCGGGUUGUAAAGCCCUUUUGUUGGGAAAGAAAUCCAUCUGGUUAAUACCCGGGUGGGAUGACGGUACCCAAAGAAUAAGCACCGGCUAACUUCGUGCCAGCCGCCGCCGUAA
rnacentral:rRNA from 1 species